AGCAGCCGCGGUAAUUCCAGCUCCAAUAGCGUAUAUUAAAGUUGCUGCAGUUAAAAAGCUCGUAGUUGAAUUUCGGGACUAAUAUGUCGGUCGUGCCUCGGUACGUACUGGUAUUUUUGGUUUCUACCUUCUGACGAACCUUGAUGUCAUUAAUUUGGUGUCUUGGGAAAUCAGGACUGUUACUUUGAAAAAAUUAGAGUGUUUAAAGCAGGCUCACGCUUGAAUACAUUAGCAUGGAAUAAUGAAAUAGGACGUUUGAUUCUAUUUUGUUGGUUUCUAGGAUCGACGUAAUGAUUAAUAGGGAUAGUUGGGGGCAUUAGUAUUCAAUUGUCAGAGGUGAAAUUCUUGGAUUUAUUGAAGACUAACUACUGCGAAAGCAUUUGCCAAGGAUGUUUUCAUUAAUCAAGAACGAAAGUUAGGGGAUCGAAGACGAUCAGAUACCGUCGUAGUCUUAACCAUAAACUAUGCCGACUAGGGAUCGGAUGAUGUUAAUUUUUUAAUGACUCA
rnacentral:rRNA from 1 species